AUGCAACUUUGUGAAGUUUCAGAUGUUACGAGAACAGCUGGCAGUCUCAGUUAUUUGACUGCCAUAAUACAGUCUGAAGUCUUUAUUGGAUUACAUAACACUUCUGGCAACAUUUGGGAGCACAAAACGUGGAAUAAUAUUAUAAGCUCCCUGAUUGGGUGCCCAGUGCAUGCAUUUCCCCAGAAAAAGGACAAUUUCCAAUCUGGCAACAGUGCACAACACAUUCAAUUGAUGUGCAUUGCGUUCCUAUGUACAUGUUGCUGUGGCCACUUUAUUUUUCCCAUCUUUGACAUGAAGGAAAACAGCUGAAUAAAAAGUUUCUUAAGACUCC
rnacentral:lncRNA from 1 species